rnacentral:antisense_RNA from 1 species
CUUCAGGGAUCCCAGCCACAGGGGCUGUCCGGCGGGCCGGUCGCGGCCGUAGGCGGCCAGCAGCGCGUCGGCCUC